rnacentral:misc_RNA from 1 species
GAUGAAGAACGUAGCGAAAUGCGAUAAGUAAUGUGAAUUGCAGAAUUCAGUGAAUCAUCGAAUCUUUGAACGCACAUUGCGCCCCUUGGUAUUCCGAGGGGCAUGCCUGUUCGAGCGUCAUAUUAACCACUCCCGCUUGCGGGGUCUUGGGCUUCGCCUCCGGGCGGGCCUUAAAAUCAGUGGUGGUGCCGUCGGGCUCUACGCGUAGUAAAUUUUCUCGCGAUAGGGUCCCGGUGGAUGCUUGCCAACAACCCCCAACUUCUUAAGGUUGACCUCGGAUCAGGUAGGGAUACCCGCUGAACUUAAGCAUAUCAAUAAGCGGAGGA